rnacentral:rRNA from 1 species
UUGACCUCGAAUCAGGUAGGAAUACCCGCUGAACUUAAGCAUAUCAAUAAGCGGAGGAAAAGAAACCAACCGGGAUUACCUCAGUAACGGCGAGUGAAGCGGUAACAGCUCAAAUUUGAAAUCUGGCUCCUUCGGAGUCCGAGUUGUAAUUUGUAGAAGAUGCUUUGGGUUGUGGGCUCGGCCUAAGUUCCUUGGAACAGGACGUCAUAGAGGGUGAGAAUCCCGUAUGUGGCCAUGGCCCGCGCCUAUGUAAAGCUCUUUCGACGAGUCGAGUUGUUUGGGAAUGCAGCUCAAAAUGGGUGGUAAAUUUCAUCUAAAGCUAAAUAUGGGCCAGAGACCGAUAGCGCACAAGUAGAGUGAUCGAAAGAUGAAAAGCACUUUGGAAAGAGAGUUAAACAGUACGUGAAAUUGUUGAAAGGGAAGCGCUUGCAACCAGACUUGGGCGCUGCCGAUCACCCCGAGUUCUCUCGGGUGCACUCGACAGCGCACAGGCCAGCAUCGGUUCGGGUGGCUGGAUAAAGGCCGUAGGAAUGUAGCUCUCUUCGGGGAGUGUUAUAGCCCACGGUGCCAUGCAGCCCAGCCGGACCGAGGACCGCGCCUUCGGGCUAGGAUGCUGGCGUAAUGGUUGUAAGCGACCCGUCUUGAAACACGGACCAAGGAGUCUAACAUCUAUGCGAGUGUUUGGGCGUUAAACCCAUACGCGGAAUGAAAGUGAACGUAGGUGAGAACCCCUUUGGGGCGCAUCAUCGACCGAUCCUGA